AUUCUAGUUCAGCCUCACUAACCAAGGGCUGGGAGCUGCGACCUUCGCCCCGGAUCCGGAAGUGGUCGCCGAGGCCUCCUAGCAGCCAAUGUGAAUGCGACAAGUCCCCGACAGGCGCCCUGCUCUCUCCGGCCCAGCUCGCCAGGUCCUACCACGAUGCCUGUCUCGUUUGCGGCUUUGGGACCGGUUGUAGGGGGCUUGACCGUCACUAGUAGACGUUUCUGAUUGUGUCGCGGUCACCAUGGGGAGGUUCCCUGCUCAAGCUCUCUUCUCUUGUCUGCCGCCAUGUGAGACGUGCCUUUGACCUUCUGCCAUGAUUGUGAGGCCUCCCCAGCCACGUGAAACUGUAAGUCCAUCAAAUCUUUCUUUUGUAAAUUGCCCAGUCUUGGAUAUGUCUUUAUCAGCAGCGUGAAAACAGACUAAUACAUCUUCCAUCUGUCUGUCAUCAACUUACUGGGUGGUUUCCGUGGCUUUUAGCAGUUUCUUUAUGACAUUUUAAAGGAUCAGCCCUGUUUGCACAUGAAUUGCUGUAAGAAAAGACGAGCGCUUCCUAGGAGCUGUUAUGCAAACACAGCCAUAUCAACUCAGUCAGAAUGUCUGGAGAUGGGAGCCCAGACCUCUGCACUUACAAAUAAGCGAUCAUAAUCACGGCAGCAGCAGUAACAGUACCUGGCGCUAACAAGCAUGGUGUGCUGACAAUGCCUGAACUAUGGUUGCAGGGUUUCUGUGGAAACACCAUCUUUAAUUCUCACGAUGACUGUAUGAAAUAGAUACAGUCUACAUCCCCAUUUAACAGAGGAAGACAUGGGGACACACACACGUAAGAUAAGUGCAGCUGAAGAGUAGAGUAUUUUUUGUUUUACAUUUUUAAUUCUGGGAUAAUUUUAUAUUUACAGAAAAGUUGCAAUGAUAUAGUCCAGAGCCUUCUCACGUCCCCCUUCCCCACUUCCCCUGCUGUUGACAUCUUACAUAAGCCUCGUAGAUGUGUCAUAACUGUAACAUUGCUACAGUACUCUUAACACCAGACUUUAUUCACAUUUCCCCAGUUUUUUCUCUAACGUCCUUUUCCUGUUCUGGGGUCACAUGUGGGACACCACAUGACAUUUAGUUGCCAUGUCUUCCUGCCCUCCUCUGAUCUGCAGCGGUGCCUCUGACUCUCCUUGUUUUUGAUGACCUUGACAGUUGUGAGGUGUAUGGACCGGGUGUUCUGUAAAAUGUCCCUCCAUUUGGAAUUGUCUGAUGCUUGCUUAUGAUUAGACUUGGAUUAUGGGCAGGAACUGACUUUUAAAUUUUUUUUAAAUUUUAAUGAAAAAUUUUACAUUGAUACUUGGUUCGGUUAUCAGACAACCUUUAACCCUGUUUGGAACAACUUGGAUAUGUGGAUCUGCUUUUUAACUAUAAAUGUUAGAAAAUAUAAUUGCAGAUCAAUUUUAGCAUUCAAAUUGAGAUGCACCAUAUGUGAAAAAUACACAAUGGAUUUCAAAGACUUCAUACAAAAUGAAGGAGAUAACUGAUCUCAUUAAUAAUUGUUUGUGUUGAUUACAUGUUGAAAUGUAUCUUGGAUAUAUUGAAUUAAAUCAUACAUAUUAUUCAAAUGGAUUUUACCGGGUUCUGGGCUCAUAGGAAGUGUGAAAUAAGUGUGGCUGACGGAUUUUUAUUGGCUAACACUGCCCUAGAUAAUAACAAUACAUUAAUUGAGAA